CGUGUGCCUUCCGUUCUCAAUUCUUUAAGAGAUGACAACAAAUUUUGGUUUUCUACUGUCGUGUGAGAACAUUAGGCCUCAGCAAAGCGUCACUGGGUAAGGAACAUAAAGUGCU